GACGUAGGGCGCAAGCGUUGUCCGGAUUUAUUGGGCGUAAAGAGCUCGUAGGCGGCUUGUUGCGUCGUCCGUGAAAACCCGCAGCUCAACUGCGGGCUUGCGGACGAUACGGGCAGGCUGGAGUUCGGUAGGGGAGACUGGAAUUCCUGGUGUAGCGGUGAAAUGCGCAGAUAUCAGGAGGAACACCGGUGGCGAGGGCGGGUCUCUGGGCCGAUACUGACACUGAGGAGCGAAAGCGUGGGGAGCGAACAGG
rnacentral:rRNA from 1 species